rnacentral:tRNA from 1 species
GGUGCUGUAGACUAAUUGGUUAGGUCGGCUCCAAGGAAUGGAGAGGCGGGUUCGAAUCCCGCCGGCGCCC